rnacentral:rRNA from 1 species
AGUGAACGCUGGCGGUAGGCCUAACACAUGCAAGUCGAACGGCAGCACAGUAAGAGCUUGCUCUUACGGGUGGCGAGUGGCGGACGGGUGAGGAAUACAUCGGAAUCUACUUUUUCGUGGGGGAUAACGUAGGGAAACUUACGCUAAUACCGCAUACGGCCUACGGGUGAAAGCAGGGGAUCUUCGGACCUUGCGCGAUUGAAUGAGCCGGUGUCGGAUUAGCUAGUUGGCGGGGUAAAGGCCCACCAAGGCGACGAUCCGUAGCUGGUCUGAGAGGAUGAUCGGCCACACUGGAACUGAGACACGGUCCAGACUCCUACGGGAGGCAGCAGUGGGGAAUAUUGGACAAAGGGCGCAAGCCUGAUCCAGCCAUACCGCGUGGGUGAAGAAGGCCUUCGGGUUGUAAAGCCCUUUUGUUGGGAAAGAAAAGCAGCAGGUUAAUACCCCGCUGUUCUGACGGUACCCAAAGAAUAAGCACCGGCUAACUUCGUG